UUUUGCUCAGCAGAGGGACCCCAGAUGUCAGCCAAGCUUAAAGACAACUGAUGGAGAUAAGCAUGAGAUCACCGUGGCACAGCUGCAUGUGUAGUCACUCUUGAAGCAAUUGCACACCUAAUUGGCUGACAAUCUUGGCAUUUUUAAAACAAACGCAAGCCUUUUAAAAGAGGGGGACCUAUUUAUAUAUGAAUAGUCAAAUAGGCCUGUUGAGUGUCAUCAAUGGAGCCCUCUGGCAAUGAACAGAUGUGUGAUGACCCUGAUCCUGGAGGCAAAUCCCAAGAUCAAGAGACCAAAAAACAGCAUGAAUCAGAGCAAAAAUUAUCCAAAAUAACGCAUAAUGCUUUGGAGAACAUUAAUGUGAUUGGCCAAGGCUUGAAGCACCUUUUCCAGCACCAGCGCAGGAGGUCUUCAGUUUCUCCCCAUGAUGUUCAGCAAGUUCAGGCUGAUCUGGAGGCUGAAAUGGAUUUGGAAAGCCAAAGCGUCUGUGCUGAAAUUGAUGGUGUCUCCACCCACCCCACAGCUCUGAAUCGAGUGCUUCAGCAGAUCAGAGUGCCACCUAAAAUGAAGAGAGGGACAAGCCUGCACAGCAGGCGGGGCAAGAUGGACCCUCCAAAAGGAAGCCCUCAGGUCAACAGGAGAUCUGCCCAAGAUACUCAAUCAGGUCGGCCCAGAUCAUCAUCUACUACUGAUGCUCCCACCAACUUGUCUGUGAUGGAGAUAGCUUCUUCUAUCUAUAUAGGUGGAGAGGAUGCCUCAGCAGCAGCAAUCGAGCGACGGG